GCGGAAGUGGCGGAACUGGCAGACGCGCCAGAUUCAGGUUCUGGUACUCGCAAGGGUGUGGAGGUUCAAGUCCUCUCUUCCGCA
rnacentral:tRNA from 1 species